CAUUUGAAAGGAAAAAAUGGCCUUUAUUGAGAAAAGUAAGAUAAAAACAUUUCCAUACAUGAUCAUGUGAAAUAGCAUUCAAAAUGGAAAUUAAUCGUAUGUUUUAAGUUGAUUAAAGAGUAAAAGAAAGGGUCUCUUUCAAGACAAGAGGGGACAAAAAAAGAAUGCUGUAUAAGAGCAACUGAAAACUAAGUAGGAACAGAUGUGCAUGCCUUUCCCUUUAAAGAGUCAGCACAGAAUUUAUAUUCUGACAUUUCCUUUAAGAACAGGUCAACAAAAGAAAAAUGAAAUAGUUGCAUAUUGUAAACUGGUCACAGUGACACUUGUGGAAAAUAUCAGAAGUAACAGUAAAUGGAAAAAUGCCCAAAAUGUAUGAAUCCAAGGG
rnacentral:lncRNA from 1 species